rnacentral:rRNA from 1 species
UACGUAGGUGGCAAGCGUUGUCCGGAAUUAUUGGGCGUAAAGCGCGCGCAGGUGGGUGAACAAGUCGGAAGUGAAAUCUUGAGGCUCAACCUCGAGGCUGCUCCCGAAACUGUUCGCCUAGGGACUGGUAGAGGCUGGUAGAAUUCCCGGUGUAGCGGUGGAAUGCGUAGAGAUCGGGAAGAAUACCCGUGGCGAAGGCGGCCAGCUGGGCCGAGGUCCGGACCACUGAGGCGCGAAAGCGUGGGGAGCAAACAGGG